CAGUAGCCACGGUAAUACAGAGGGUGCGAGCGUUAAUCGGAUUUACUGGGCGUAAAGCGUGCGUAGGCGGCUUCUUAAGUCGGAUGUGAAAUCCCUGAGCUUAACUUAGGAAUUGCAUUCGAUACUGGGAAGCUAGAGUAUAGGAGAGGAUGGUAGAAUUCCAGGUGUAGCGGUGAAAUGCGUAGAGAUCUGGAGGAAUACCGAUGGCGAAGGCAGCCAUCUGGCCUAAUACUGACGCUGAGGUACGAAAGCAUGGGGAGCAAACAGGAUUAGAUACCCCCGUAGUCCCUGUCUCUUAUAC
rnacentral:rRNA from 1 species